ensembl:lncRNA
GAAUGAUUGACAGGUCCUAUGGAGGAGACAGCUGAGACUCUGUUCUCCUCGUUUGGAUUAAUUCUGAUAUAAUAACUGUUGGUUUAUUUAUCGGUGCAGCAGCAGAACAUUUUCCACAGACAGUUUUCCUGCCCGUUGGCUUGUUUUAACCAGUUUUCUACCUUCGGCUGAUUCUACCAUCAGACACUGAAAGGACUCUGAUAGUUUGAGUGAAAGUAGCAGUUCCUCCUUAAGGUCAGAGAUUGCAGCAUCUGAGGGCCUCUUCAAAAGAAGACGUAGUUGAUGAAGGCGUUCUGGAGCAGGACCAGAAAGACCACGACCAAGCAGCCUUGAGAUCUUAUGCAGCGUCUCCCUCAGGUCCCUCUCUAUCUCCCCACACAUCCACCAACCACUGGAACACAUCUCCAAAGUUCUGCCAGGCCAGCUCAGCUUCCCCUCAGAAGAAGUGCCGCCACCUGCCAGAUGAAGGAGCCUUUUGAGAGGCAGCUGACAUCGUGAUUGGACUGUACUUUGGUCUGUUCCAAUCCAGCUUCAGCUCCAGAGACGGCAGGCGGGACGAGUCAACGGAGGCCUGGUGGACGAAGGCAUGAAGCUGAGUACAAUCCAGAAAACAACAGAGGAGGAGCGCAAACAGAGUAGCAUGACCAAAGAACUACAGACUCUUCACAACCUGCUCAAACUCUUGGUACAGGACCUCACCACACGGGUCAAGAAGGUUUCCUUCUCCUCAUUUCUACUCUGAAGCUCACCUUCUCCUGCUCAAACUGCUGACAAAUGUUUCUGCUGCUCUAAAGUCUGCUCUCCAGAACUUCCUAAAAACUCUCAAAGUCUCUUCUGCUGCAGGCUGCUUUGUAGAACUGUUGCAGAAAACCUCACUAAACCACAUGGAGGGGCCUCAAGAUAGUCGUCCAAAUGAAACCAUACAAAAACCAAACUAGAACAACCCAAACGCUAAAGUCUCCUGCAGCCUACCAGAGAACCUCUGAGAACAGAGAAUCAGGACAGGAACUCUUACCUUCUGGACAACCAAGAAUACAGAAUGUGUCUGACCAAAAACCUCUAAAGACUCACUACAGCCAAGAUAAAGACACAACUCAGCUGCACCAAAUCCACUAAUCACUGCACACAUUAGCACCAUGUGCUAACUGUGGCUAAAGAACCUCAUUUACCAAGACAACUAUCCAGUACAAAGCCCUAAAACACACCAAGAAACACAUUAAAGACGAUUUUACUGCUGGAAGCUGCAAGCCAACGCCUAAAGCACAAACAAAAGCAAUGGAGCCAAACCCGGUUCACUGGUGAAGAGAAGCAGAGGAAAUGUUUGUCUGCAGCUAAAUAAAGCAGGAAGACAGUGAGCUGCUCAGGUGUUCCUGAUAACACUGAGCUGCUCAGGUGUUCCUGAUAACACCAAGCAGCCACCUGGACAGCCAAUAGGAACACAGCUUACUGGAAGUCCAGAGGGCUGGCUUAGUGAAGGAAAUUUAGUUUAAAGUUGAAGCAGAAAGUUAACAAAGAAAGUUGAAAACCACCUUCUGAUACCUGAAAUCUGAGUUUUCACACAAAGAACACCUGAACAUGUCAAACUGGUUCC